GUCAUGUAAGGUGAACAAAAUGGAGAGUUCUGUCACAGUGUGAGAUUAAAAAUGGAGUUAGUACAAUUAUUCAAUACAAGUUCAGUAAAGAUUUUUAAUAAUUCUACAUCAAUAUCACUGCUAAUAGAAACAUAGACAGGGUUAUUAUAAACUGUGAUGUCACUGCUAAUAGAAACACUGACAGGGUUAUUAUAAACUGUGAUAUUGCUGCUAAUAGAAACACUAAAAGGAUUAUUAUAAACUGCGAUAUCUCUAAUAUAACCACUGACAGGGUUAUUAUAAACUGCAAAAUCACUGCUAAUAUAUACACUGACAGCUUUAUUAUAAACUGUGACAUCACUUACAGGGUUAUCAACUGUAAAAUCACUGACAGGAUUAUUAUAAACUGCGAUAUCACUGCUAAUAGAAACACUGACUGUUACAGGUAAGAUUCAUCUGUAGGAAAAGGUUACUGAUUGCACAAGGUUUGAAUUCCUGUUGGUAAUUAUAAGGCAUUUGAUUUGAAUAGUUAGCUACUUGCUAUUGAUUGCUGUUUAAAUUAGCUAUUGUUUGCAAAUAAGCAGAGGCCUACCCAGGUGUUAAAGGACCACUCUAAGCACCCAGACCACUUCAGCUUAAUGAAGUGGUCUGGGUGCCAGGUCCCUC